rnacentral:lncRNA from 1 species
CUUCUGAAAAAUAAGAACAACAUUAAAUUCAACAUGAUUAAAAAUGAUAGAAUUACAGGCCUUCCAAAUAUAUCAAAUACAAGUGAACCAUAUAGGAUUAAUCUUGGAUCAAAUUGCUCUCCUCACCAGGCCAUGUCUUGAAAAUAGAACUGCAUGGGAUUCCACAACAUUAUGUAAAGCGCUUGAUAAGCUUAACCAUAUUAACACCACCGAACAAACAUUCCCACUACCCGCCCCACACAUCACAGAGUCAUUAUAAUUUAACAUCUUCUAAGAAAGUUGUUUUUGUUAGGUAAAUGAUUAUGAAGCAAACGCCACGCAAAAAUCGACACCUUUAAGCGAACUCACUUGUUCGAUGGAUGAAAAACAUAACAAAAAAUUGUACGCUUCCUUACCGACCAAGAUUGAAACUCCACUUGUUUGAAAUGUGAGUGCUAGAUAGUAUUACCGAGCAACAAAACACAUUUUUCCACCAAUUCCUUUGCUCACUAAAAAAAGAUUCCUUCGCCACCCCCAAUUGAAAACAACCUCAUUGACACCCCUAGCCUACAGUUCCGCUACUUUAAUAUUUUUAUCAAAAGCCAAACUAAAUAGUCUACUAAACCUAUCUAUCAAAAGACCUCUAUCAACCCAAGGCGCCAACCAAAACAAUGUAUCAGCUCUAUUCCCUACUACUUUAAUGACAUUAUCAGCAAACCAACCCAUAUUGCCCUUCUCGUCCAUUUUAAAAAGGAAAACACUACAUUUCACCACGUUGAAGCUUUCUUAGCACCACCACCUACACUCUCAUUAAUACUACCAUACUUACUACACAAAACCUUAAACAACAAAUCAUCUCUAUUGUUUAUCAACCUCCAACACCACUUACCUAAGAGAGCUAGAUUAAAAGCUUUCAAAUUGCAAACCCCUAAUCCCCAUUCUCCCUUCUUAGACAAACAUUAGCUCAUUUAACCCAACAAGGACAAGACAAACAUUAAAGAGAACAAGAUGAGCCCCCUUAGAAUGGUUAAGGUUCCUCCAUGUAUACAAACGAACACGAUUACGACAAUCAUAGGCUUUCAAAACGCCAAACACCUCGGAUUCCCAAUAAGCAUUCCCAAGUAAUGAAAGGGUGUGUGACCCACUUUACAAUGAAAUAUGUUUGUCGCAUCCUUUAACCACAUAUCGGCAACGUUAAAUCCCUUCGAGGAGACUCUUGUGGAAAUUAACCUUCAAACAAGAUAUUAACUCAAAAAGCAGAGGAAUAGAUUGAAUAGUUUGCUAUUUGCCCAACUAUUGGACCCUAUAAUCAAAGUAAGAUCAAUAAAUUGUAAAUGACAAACACGACAAUCAUCACUAGAACCCACACCACAACCACA